rnacentral:tRNA from 1 species
GCACCCGUAGCUCAGUUGGAUAGAGCGUCUGACUACGAAUCAGAAGGUCGCAAGUUCGAGUCUUGCCGGGUGCAUCA